AGCAAAAUAAUUGUUUUUUUCCCCUAAUUUGGCCUUCCACGCGCACAUUUUCUUCUUCCUAAUUUCUCUAAUCUCAUAUACACUUUGGCACGCCUCUUCCUCAUGGUUCACCGCAAAGCUGCUGUUUGACACCGUUCUUUGUCGUUCACUACACUGGCCUGAGUUCUCAUCGUCCGACUGAGUCGCGUCCAUCGUCUGACUCUUCAUUCAUUGUCCGCCAUUGUUGCAUGAGCUUCGUCCGUCACAACCGGAGAUUCACGUCUUGAGGUUCGUGAGCGUGUGUAAUAUAUCAGAGAUAAGCUUUUAGAGCUUCACGAGCUUCUUUUCUUUCUGGGGGAAAAUUGACCAGACUUCUAAGCGCCACAUGUCUAGGGAGAAGACAGAUAUAAUUUUGAAAGUAGUUGUAAAGCAUUUCUUAAUUGAGAAAGAGGUCACUUCUACUUUGGUAAUGGACUCCUUGCAUAGUGGAUUGAAGGCUCUUGAAGGCCAGACUAAAAACCAAAAAGCUAAAGUGAAAUGGCUGGAUGCUGAAGAAAUACCAGCACCAAUUGUUCAUGUUGAGAAAGACAUGUUUGUACUGGUGGAUUAUGUUUUACUGCUACUUGAAAGGGCUGCAAUAGAACCAUUGCCUCCUAAAGAUGAAAAGUGCCCUCAAAACCGGACAAAGGUAAGAUGUAGAAUUAUGUUUGUAAUAGUCACUGUGGAAUUUUGUGUUGAUGCCUGAUCUGAUAACUGGUGACAUGGUUGAGCACUGAUCUCUAUGAAAUGUGAUGGUAUUGGGCUGAGGUUUUUAGAAGAUGUAGUUGACAAAUAAGAGCAUAACAGAAUAUGUUUGAAUGGGGUCUAGACUAGGGAGAAAAGAAAACUGAAACUCUGCUAUUAUAUUCUGAAUAGCAUUAUAUUUAGGAUUGAUUUUCGCUCAAGUACUACUACUACAUCAGCUGGUCAUCUGAACUAUUAACCUUUAGAGUUAUUUGAUUUAUGCUUUUAUGCUUCAAUUUUUU